rnacentral:rRNA from 1 species
CCUACGGGAGGCAGCAGUAGGGAAUAUUGCUCAAUGGGCGCAAGCCUGAAGCAGCCAUGCCGCGUGGAGGAAGAAGGUUUUCGGAUUGUAAACCACUUUUGGUAGAGAAGAAAACGCCGAUAUUCAUAGCCUCAGCACCGGCUAAUACCGUCCCAGCAGCCGCGGUAAUACGGCGGGUGCAAGCGUUAAUCGGAAUGACUGGGCGUAAAGGGCGCGUAGGCGGUAUGGCAAGUCAGAGGUGAAAUCCUAGGGCUUAACCAGGGAACUGCAUUUGAAACUGGUAUGCUAGAGUAUGGGCGAGGUAGGUAGAAUUCGUGGUGUAGCGGUGAAAUGCGUAGAGAUCAGGAGGAAUACAGAUUGCGAAGGCGGCCUGCGAGACCAAAACUGACGCUGAGGCGCGAAAGCGUGGGGAGCAAACAGGAUUAGAUACCCCAGUAGUC